UCGACAGGUCUGCACCAGAAACGAGAAAUAAGAAAAAAAUACAUCGUGGAUCAAAAGCAGUAUUUACCGAUCUGCUCACUGUCCGAUUGGAACCACGAUUCACACGACCAUAAAACGGUGUAUCAUUUAUUUGCCCCCCGCACCUGAACAUCCCUUUCGUUUAAUGGAAUGGCAAGCCGACAAUAUCGUGAUAGUGAUGGCCAACAUCCCGGAGCUCAGCUACAUGGAGAGAUAUUGGCGCCAUCGUCAAGCGGAACUUGAAGAAGACGCAAAAACGAUGAAAGGCGAAUGACAGUUCGAAGCAAACGGGCAUUCUGUAGCUGCUAACCUGCUAACAACAUCUGAAACGUCAACCGAACAAUUUAAACUCGCCUGGUAUUAUUCAAAACACUAUAAUCGUAACCAAUAAGUCCUAAAUUCACACUUCUCCGGCAAUGAAAUUAUAAAAAUCAA